rnacentral:rRNA from 1 species
AUUGAACGCUAGCGGGAUGCUUUACACAUGAAAGUCGAACGAGUGGCGGACGGGUGAGUAAUGUAUCGGAACGUGCCCAGUAGCGGGGGAUAACUACUCGAAAGAGUGGCUAAUACCGCAUACUAUUGGAGCGGCCGAUAUCGGAUUAGCUAGUUGGUGGGGUAACGGCUCACCAAGGCCACGAUCCGUAGCUGGUGUGAGAGGACGACAAGCCACACUGGGACUGAGACACGGACCAGACUCCUACGGGAGGCAGCAGUGGGGAAUGUUGGACAAUGGGGGAAACCCUGAUCCAGCCAUCCCGCGUGUAUGAGAAGGCCUUCGGGUUGUAAAGUACUUUUCGCAGAGAUCCGGUAUCGGCAGAACAAGCACCGGCCAACUACGUGCCAGCAGCCGCGGUAAUUC